UACGGAGGGUGCAAGCGUUAUCCGGAUUCACUGGGUUUAAAGGGUGCGUAGGCGGGCAGGUAAGUCCGUGGUGAAAUCUCUGAGCUUAACUCAGAAACUGCCAUCGAUACUAUUUGUCUUGAAUAUUGUGGAGGUGAGCGGAAUAUGUCAUGUAGCGGUGAAAUGCUUAGAUAUGACAUAGAACACCCAUUGCGAAGGCAGCUCACUACACAAUGAUUGACGCUGAGGCACGAAAGCGUGGGGAGCAAACAGG
rnacentral:rRNA from 1 species